AUGUCUAUCAGAGUGACCCAGAAGUCCUACAAGGUGUCCACCUCUGGCCCCUAGGCCUUAAGCAGCCACUCCUACAUGAGUGGGCCCAGUGCCCGUAUCAGCUCCUGGAGCUUCUCCUGAGUAGGCAGCAGCAGCAGCUUCCAGGGUGGCCUGGGCACCUCCAUGGGUCUGGGUGGACGCUUUGGUGGGGCCAGUGGUAUGGGGGUCAUCACAGCCAUCAUGGUUAGCCAGAACCUGCUGAGUCCCCUUGGAGGUGAACCCCAACAUCCAGGCUGUGCACACCCAGGAGAAGGAGCAGAUCAAGACCCUCUACAACAAGUUUGCCUCCUUCAUCGAGAAGGUGCGGUCCCUGGAGCAGCAGAACAAGAUGCUGGAGGCCAAGUGGAACCUCCUGCAGCAGCAGAAGACAGCUCAGAGCAACACGGACAACAUGUUCGAGAGCCACAUCAACAACUUUCGGUGGCAGCUGGACACUCUGGGCCAGGAGAAGCUGAAGCUUGGCAACAUGCAGGAGCUGGUGGAGGACUUCAAGAACAAGUAUGAGGAUGAGAUCAAUAAGAGUACAGAGAUGGAGAAUGAAUUCGUCCUCAUCGAGAAGGAUGUGGCUGAAGCUAACAUGAACAAGGUAGAGCUGGAGUCUCACCUGGAAGGGCUGACUGACGAGAUCGACUUCCUCAGGCAGCUGUAUGAAGAGGAGAUCCGGGAGCUGCAGUCCCAGAUCUCGGACACUUCCGUGGUGCUGUCCAUGGACAACAGCCACUCCCUGGACAUGGACAGCAUCAUCCCUGAGGUCAAGGCACAGUACAAGGAGAUCACCAACCACAGCUGGGCUGAGGCUGAGGGCAUGCACCAGAUCAAGUAUGAGGAGCUGCAGACACUGGCUGGGAAGCACGGGAAUGACCUGCAUUACGCAAAGAUGGAGCUCUCUGAGAUUAACAGGAACAUCAGCCAGCUCCAGGCUGAGACUGAGGGCCUCAAAGGCCAGAGGGCUUCCCUGGAGGCCGCCAUCACAGAUGCUGAGCAGUGUGAGGAGCUGGCUGUUAAGGAUGCCAACACAAAGCUGUUGGGCUAGAGGCGCCCCGUAGUGGGCCAAGCGGGACAUGGUGUGGCAGCUGUGCCAUGGAGCACCAGGAGCUGAAGAAUAUCAAGCUGGCCCUAGACAUCAAGAUCGCCACCUACAGGAAGCUUCUGGAGGGCAAGGAGAGCUGGCUGGGGUCUGGGAUGCAGAACAUGAGUAUCCAUCUGAAGACCACCAGUGGCUUCUCAGAUGGGCUGAGCUCGGCCUAUGGGCACCUCACAAGCCCUGGCCUCAGCUACAGCCUGGACUCCAGCUUUGGCUUUGGUGGAGGCUCCAGCUCCUUCAGCCGUGCCAGCUCCUCCAGGGCCGUGGUUGUGAAGAAGGUGGAAACACAACAUGGGAAGCUGGUGUCCGAGUCCUCAGAUGUCCUGCCCAAGUGAAUGGCCACGGCAGCCCCUACCAGCCUGCCCCUGCUGCAGCUGCCCCAGGGCCUGUGGGGGAAGCCGCUGUGCAUUGGAGCACAGGAACAGGAGACCCACCUGAGGGUCAGCCCUAGCCCUCAGCCCACCUGCUGAGGGAGUUUACUGCCUGAGGCACCCCCCUUGCUCAUGCUUCCAGCUACAAAACAAUUCAAUUGUUGCUUUUUUUUCCCCCAAAAUAAAACCUCAGCUAG